AAGAAAAGAAAGAAACAGAAUAGAAGUGACGAAACAGAGAAGAAACAAGGAGAAAGAAAGAAAUAAAGAAAAGAAAAGGAAAAACUAAAGGUUUAAGGUUUAAAGCUUUGAUUGCUAACAAAGAACCCGAGGCAUCAGCAUCAAAGGGAAAGGAGAAAGCUAUCGAGGACUAAAACGGGAGAUUUACGGUCGAUAGAAGUCAAAGGUCCUGGUUCAGCAUCCAGAUUAAUCCCGGCUUCAGCAUAACUUUGGUGAUGUAUAUUUUCUUUGGUAAUGUGGCAUGUACAUAGGAUGUGUAUAAAGGUUAUUAUGUUUUAAUAUA